CAAUCAUCCAGGGCCCCAAAUGCUCCUUCUGAAGUGAGACAGCACAUUUCCCUGUGCUGUUGUCUACUGGAUAGAUUUUCUGAAACAGCAAUAUCCUCGGCACACCCUCAGCUGCAGUGAAGUAUCGCUCCUUGGCAGGUGCAAUUGUUGUUGAAGAAGGCAAAUGAAAGCACUUCCAGAAUGUGACUGGAGGACCACUUCAGAAUAUCAAAAAUCUAAUACUUACUGGACAGGAAGUGUUGGGAUGUAGGACCAAAAUCUCUAUGUGCUUCAUGCAACUGCUUCAAGCGUUCAUCUAUGGAUAUCUGAAAAGAAAGAGAAGGAAUUAUUAGAGUGGCUGAAAGGAUAUAUCCAACUGCUAUUUUUAUUAAUUGCAAAAGAACAUUUCCUCAUUGACAAGGUUGUCAAGGAGUUAAAAUGUGAAUAUCGUCGUACACCAAUCUUCACUUUCUGUGACCAAUAAAUUUUCAUCUAAUUUUCUUCACGAGGCUAAAAUCUUUCGACAAACCCUAUGUCAAGUAACUAAAAAAGAUCAAUGGGAGAAUAACUUUCAUGGGAUUUAUCUUCCUUUCUCCUUCCAAGUUCCUUAUAUUCUGAUAAGAAAGAUUAUAAGUACAUGUUUAGAAGUGUCACCAUUAGGACUUACUUGGCAUCUAUAGUUAUAGUGACACAAUCUCUGGCCAAAAAUGAAAAUUUCAACUUAUAUUUACAGUAAAUUUGACUGAAAGUUGUGGUAGAUUAUGAAAAUACAAUACGUGAGUUGGUA